AACCCAUGAUGAUGACACAUUCUCAAAAGAUAUUUAAAUAUCUCCCAUGCAUCUUAUAAUGUCUCCAAAUCAAUUUGAGCAAAAGAAGAGAUAUCAUUCCUCAAUUU
rfam:Gossypium raimondii Chr10_contig_1085, whole genome shotgun sequence.